rnacentral:rRNA from 1 species
ACAACAGUUGGAAACGACUGCUAAUACCGCAUAAGCCCACGGUGCCGCAUGGCACAGAGGGAAAAGGAGCAAUCCGCUUUGAGAUGGCCUCGCGUCCGAUUAGCUAGUUGGUGAGGUAACGGCCCACCAAGGCGACGAUCGGUAGCCGGACUGAGAGGUUGAACGGCCACAUUGGGACUGAGACACGGCCCAGACUCCUACGGGAGGCAGCAGUGGGGAAUAUUGCACAAUGGGGGAAACCCUGAUGCAGCGACGCCGCGUGGAGGAAGAAGGUCUUCGGAUUGUAAACUCCUGUUGUUGAGGAAGAUAAUGACGGUACUCAACAAGGAAGUGACGGCUAACUACGUGCCAGCAGCCGCGGUAAAACGUAGGUCACAAGCGUUGUCCGGAAUUACUGGGUGUAAAGGGAGCGCAGGCGGGAAGACAAGUUGGAAGUGAAAUCCAUGGGCUCAACCCAUGAACUGCUUUCAAAACUGUUUUUCUUGAGUAGUGCAGAGGUAGGCGGAAUUCCCGGUGUAGCGGUGGAAUGCGUAGAUAUCGGGAGGAACACCAGUGGCGAAGGCGGCCUACUGGGCACCAACUGACGCUGAGGCUCGAAAGUGUGGGUAGCAAACAGGAUUAGAUACCCUGGUAGUCCACACUGUAAAC